CUGAUGGUGAUUCCUGUGAAUCUGCUCAUUGUCCAAAUUUUUCGGAAUAGCUCGGUCAGACCUUCCAGGAAAAUCAGUACGGUAAUGAAAAGUGAUGACCUAUCCGUGAAAGUCGAUCAACUGGCAAAGAAGAAGAGAAAGAAACGCCUUUUACCCUGGUGGUGUGUCUUCUUUGCAUGGUUCCUCGUGUUGGGUACCUGUGUCGUCUCCGCGUUCUUCACCAUGUUGUACGGGUUCGAGUACGGCCGGGAGAAGGCAGAUGCGUGGGUCUUCACUUUCCUCACAUCCUUCGUCUUCGACCUAGCCAUCUCUCAACCACUCAAGAUCCUCCUGCUAGGUUUCUUCUUCGCGAUGAUA